AUGUUCCUUGUCCUCAGCCCUCUGCUGAUGUCCUCCCUGAUAACAGGAGGCUCACCUGACCAUGGUGUCAGAACAGACAGCAGGGCGGCUGGAGGCAGGGCCGGCGCCCACUGUCUCCCUGGAAGCAAGAUGAAGGUCAGGUUCCGGUCAACAGAAGAGAGACACAGGAAAGCCAGACAGGCCAGGACAGCCUCAGCAGUGGCCUCCUUUCUGACAGAGGACGGCGUGUGGCCUCCACAUCAGGGUCAGGGAAGGGUGACACGCCGAGGAGAGGAGGAUGGCAUUGCUUAAAUCGAUGGCAGCAUUCUCAUUAAUUCUCUUUCCAGCCGUUUUCAAGGAAGCCAACAACUGGGCCGGCGGAGAGUAGGGUGGGAAGACCAUGGCUGUGCGAAGACGCGCCCGCGGGUCAGCCAACAUGGCCACCUCCACAUGGCCGAGAGUCACGGGCUCCCAGUGACAAGGCGUCCAAAGGCUAGGCGGCCAGAAGGACCCUAGACAAGAGGCAGAGCACAAAACCUCCGUGAUUCCUCUAACCACCGCCGGAGGGCGCGACCUCGCGGACUGAUAUCUCGGCCAAAGGUCGGCGGGAAGGUGCCACGUAACAGCACAGGGGAGCCGGUCUCUAACGCUCUCGGCGCCUUUCCUCCCACAUGGAACACGGAAGGGACAACGGCUCUGUGGACUCGCAUUUCCACUGACUCCUUGUCUUUAAGUGUUUAAAAUGGCUAAAUAUUCGCAGGAGGGGUGGUUGCCCCCCCCGUCUUGCUGAGUGGUUCAGCCCGGGCUGGCCGCCGCACCUCCCUUUACCUCUCCACCACCCCCACUCCGGUGCCGCAUUGGCGCGCGGCGCCGGGGGGCGGGGCCGAGCCGGCGCGCGCUGCACUAUAAGCACUGGGCCUCGCCGCCGGUCAUCUCGUUCUCUGCGCGCCUUCUCCUCGGUGGAAGUGUGGCUUCCGUUGUUAUCAGCUGUCUUGUCGUUAUCAGCUGCCUUGCUACUGCCCUCCCUCCUUCUUAACGCCACCUUCCCAGUCCGUCAUCGCCAGCAUGAACGGCCAGGUCAACAGUUUCCACGACGUGUUCAUCGAGGAGGGCACGUUCCUCUUCACCUCGGAGUCUGGGGGCGAAGGCCACCCAAGUGAGGUGGCGAGCUCCGGGACACGGCGAGGGGCAGGAGGAGGGCAGCGCCGGCCGGGUUCGCCGCGGGGGGGUGGGGGUGGUGGUGUGGAAGUCCGCGCAGCCCGUCCUUGCCCAGCGGAAGGUGGGAAGAACGACGGCCGCAUGCGUAGCCGCGCCCCCGUGUCACUUUUCUUAUAUGAGAGACUCACAGCUUAAAUAAAUUAAAGAGCAAAAUAAAAGAUAGUAAGGAAUAGGGAGACAGAUCAUUUGCAAAAGGGAAGGGGACCAGGAGAACAGCACAACUCCAAUGUUCGCCUCUGUUCACAUGGUCACUGCCCUACUGCGCGUCUGUGUGUGUCUUCUCCCCUCUUAUAAGGACACCAAUCACUGGACUUAGGGCCACCCAAUCCAGCAUGACCUCGCCUUAGCUGAUUAGAUCUGCAGAACCUGCCACCAAAAGGCCACGACUGAGGUUGCAGGGUGACCUGAAUUUUCUUUUGAG
rnacentral:lncRNA from 1 species